GUCAAGCUGCGGCUUGGGAAAUAUUAGCGCGGAAAUGGAAAUCGUUUAGUAUAAAUUUCUAAUGCGCAGAGGCUCAGCCAGCGGCGAGCUCCUCCAUCUCCGCGCUAGAGGACGCCGGUGGGAUCGCAAAGUCACAAUGUGGACUGAAAUACCAGCUUGGGGUGCAAAUCAGAAGCUCUGACGGAGGAAGAGGGACAGAGAGAUGUGGCUUAUCGGGAGGCCAUGAAGGGUCCACCCAAUGGAUUCUUCGUUGCCCGACCUAUCCCAAGAUUCAUUGUGUGGAUUUUUACAAGGACUUGGUCUACAAAGGCUACAGUUCAAAAGCACACAGACUCUACUGAGACCAGCUGUAGAAACGAGUGGGCAAGAUGCAAAUGUAUGAAUGUCUUCCUCCCCUAAUGAAUAGCAGACGGCAUAAACAAUGCUGAACGCUAACGGAUACACACGAUGCAUUUUUAUUGAGAGAGCAUGGAACCCCCAUGAUGAUGUUGCUUCCUGGUCACCACAACCAAGCAGGAGGGGUAAACGACAGUCAAGGCAUUCCUCCUCCGAAGCGUGUGCAUCAAUGCACGAGGUGCAGUGUAGGCACGUGGCACGGGCAGGCCAACGUGACUGAGAGGAGGGCUGCUGGGCU